AGGGCCGUUUUUCGAUUUCCGGCUUUUGUUGUUGUUGUUGUUGUUGUUUAUUUGUUUUUCUUGUUGGUGUUUUGAAACAAGGUCUUUUUACUUGACCGUUGCUGUCCAGGAAGUCACGCUGUAGAUCAGGCUGGCUUUGAACUCACAGAGAUCCGGGUGGGAUUAAAGGCGUGCGCCACCACCUGGUGUCCAGGUUCUUUCUGGCUUUGAGUGAUUCUGAGGACAAAAACAUUUUCUGGUCCUUGUCAAAAUUAGCUCAAACGUUUACUAAGUGCCUAUUUGAGGCCAUCAUCAGGGCUUGGGAAAGCCCUCAAAAUCCGGGUCUACCCCGCCCCCAUCCUGACUGGGAUUCCUCUGGGUCCUCUUGGGGGCCCAGAUUCAUUGGCGCCCACCUGGCUUUCUGGGAUUUGCUGACGACAAGGACAGUCUGAUCCUCCCCGCCUAUCGGAUACCAGUCCUGACUUCCAAGGCAAUGCAAGGAGGACACCCAGGAGGA